GGCCCUGGCUGAAGGCUUCCUCUUGAGCCAGGUGGAAGAGCAGAAGGAGCAGGGUGAGUUGCAGUCCUUUGUGGUGGAGAUCAGAGAUCGUGAGGGAAGAAGGAAUCCAUCAAAUCCUUCUCAGGAGAUGCCUUUCAGGAGGAUCCCUAAAGAAAAUCCAAGUCAGGACAUCUCAGGAGGGAAGGGUCAAAUGAAGUUGUCUGCUUUUUAUGAUGGAGAUGAAACAGUGGUUGAA